rnacentral:rRNA from 1 species
AAGGGCGACCGGCCACACUGGGACUGAGACACGGCCCAGACUCCUACGGGAGGCAGCAGUGGGGAAUAUUGCACAAUGGGCGAAAGCCUGAUGCAGCGACGCCGCGUGAGGGAUGACGGCCUUCGGGUUGUAAACCUCUUUCAGCAGGGAAGAAGCGAAAGUGACGGUACCUGCAGAAGAAGCGCCGGCUAACUACGUGCCAGCAGCCGCGGUAAUACGUAGGGCGCGAGCGUUGUCCGGAAUUAUUGGGCGUAAAGAGCUCGUAGGCGGCUUGUCACGUCGGUUGUGAAAGCCCGGGGCUUAACCCCGGGUCUGCAGUCGAUACGGGCAGGCUAGAGUUCGGUAGGGGAGAUCGGAAUUCCUGGUGUAGCGGUGAAAUGCGCAGAUAUCAGGAGGAACACCGGUGGCGAAGGCGGAUCUCUGGGCCGAUACUGACGCUGAGGAGCGAAAGCGUGGGGAGCGAACAGGAUUAGAUACCCUGGUAGUCCACGCCGUAAACGGUGGGCACUAGGUGUGGGCGACAUUCCACGUCGUCCGUGCCGCAGCUAACGCAUUAAGUGCCCCGCCUGGGGAGUACGGCAA